rnacentral:rRNA from 1 species
AACAGGAUUAGAUACCCUGGUAGUCCAUGCCGUAAACGAUGAGUGCUAGGUGUUGGAGGGUUUCCGCCCUUCAGUGCCGGAGCUAACGCAUUAAGCACUCCGCCUGGGGAGUACGACCGCAAGGUUGAAACUCAAAGGAAUUGACGGGGGCCCGCACAAGCGGUGGAGCAUGUGGUUUAAUUCGAAGCUACGCGAAGAACCUUACCAGGUCUUGACAUCUUGCGCUAACCUAAGAGAUUAGGCGUUCCCUUCGGGGACGCAAUGACAGGUGGUGCAUGGUCGUCGUCAGCUCGUGUCGUGAGAUGUUGGGUUAAGUCCCGCAACGAGCGCAACCCUUGUUACUAGUUGCCAGCAUUCAGUUGGGCACUCUAGUGAGACUGCCGGUGACAAACCGGAGGAAGGUGGGGACGACGUCAGAUCAUCAUGCCCCUUAUGACCUGGGCUACACACGUGCUACAAUGGUCGGUACAACGAGUCGCUAACCCGCGAGGGCAAGCUAAUCUCUUAAAGCCGAUCUCAGUUCGGACUGUAGGCUGCAGCUCGCCUACACGAAGUCGGAAUCGCUAGUAAUCGCGGAUCAGCAUGCCGCGGUGAAUACGCUCCCGGGCCUUGUACACACCGCCCGUCACACCAUGGAAGUUUGUAACGCCCAAAGUCGGUGGCCUAACCAUUUGGAGGGAGCCGCCUAAGGCGGGACAGAUGACUGGGGUGAAGUCGUAACAAGGUAACC